GGAAAGCUCGGGAAAACCAUUAUCUUCGGCCCUCCGAAGGCAAAGGUCGUACGUUCGAAUCGUAUCGGGUCCGCCA
rnacentral:tRNA from 1 species